UUCAUAAAAUUAUGUUUUCAGAGGUCGUUAUGAUAUCAAAGUUUUUCCUUCAUUUAUCCAACUCCAUGGUAAAACAUUUGAUUACAAAAUUCCACUUAGUACAGUAUUACGUCUGUUCUUACUUCCCCAUAAAGAUAACAGACAAACUUUUUUUGUACUUAGUUUAGAUCCACCAAUUAAACAAGGACAAACGCGUUAUCAUUUUUUGAUAUUGCUUUUUAAUAAAGAAGAUGAAAUUUCUUUAGAAUUGGGACUAUCUGA